rnacentral:rRNA from 1 species
AUGAAAUUAAAAUUAUUAAAUAUAAUUUUAUCAAUAAUAAAUAAACUUAAUAAUAAUAAUAUUAUUAUUAAUAAUCUAUUAGAUUCAUUAAUAAAUAAGAAAUUAUUAUUAAAGAAUAUAUUAUUAGAUAUAAAUAAUAAAAAAAUAAAUAAUAUAAAAAGAAUAUUAAAUAAUAAUAAUAUAAAUAUUAAUAAUAAAUUACAACAUUUAAAUAAUAUAAAUAAUUGAAAUCUACAAAUUUAUAAUUAUAAUAAAAAUAUAGAAAUUAUAAAUACUAUAAAUGAUAAAUUAAUUAAUAAAUUAUUAUAUAAAAUAAUAACUUUAAAAUUAAAUAAUAUAAAUAUUAAUAAAAUUAUUAUAAGUAAACUUAUUAAUCAACAUAGUUUAAAUAAAUUAAAUAUUAAAUUUUAUUAUUAUAAUAAUGAUAUUAAUAAUAAUAAUAAUAAUAAUAAUAAUAAUAAUAAUUAUUAUAUAAAUAUAAUAAAUAAAUUAAUAAAUAUUAUAAAUAAUAAUAUAAAUAAUAAUUUAUGUAAUAUUUUAAGUUAUUAUUAUAAUAAAAAAGUAACUAUUGAACCUAUUAAAUUAUCAUAUAUUUAUUUAAAUAGUGAUAUUUUUAGUAAAUAUAUUAGUUUAAAUGAUAUAGAUAAAUAUAAUAAUGGUAUCUUAACUAAUUAUCAACGUAUAUUAAAUAAUAUUAUGCCUAAAUUAAAUGAUCAUAAUAUUUCUAUAAAUUAUAUUAAUAAUAUUAAUAAUAUUAAUAAUAAUAAAUAUAAUAAUAUAAUUAAUUUAUUAAAUAAUAAUAAUAAUAAUAAUAAUAAUAUUAAUAAUAAUAAUAAUUAUAAUAAUAAUAAUAAUAAUUAUAUUGGUAAUAUUAAUAAUAUUUAUAAUAAUAUAACUAUUGAUAAUAUUCCUAUAGAUAUUUUAAUAUAUAAAUAUUUAGUUGGUUGAUCUAUUAAAUUUAAAGGUAGAUUAAGUAAUAAUAAUGGUAGAACUAGUACACUUAAUUUAUUAAAUGGUACUUUUAAUAAUAAAAAAUAUUUAUGAAGUAAUAUUAAUAAUAAUUAUAAAUUAAAUUAUAUCCCUUCUAAUCAUAAUUUAUAUAAUAAUUCUAAUAUUAAUAAAAAUGGUAAAUAUAAUAUUAAAGUUAAAUUAAACUUUAUUUAA